GACGAACGCUGGCGGCGUGCCUAAUACAUGCAAGUAGAACGCUGAAGAGAGGAGCUUGCUCUUCUUGGAUGAGUUGCGAACGGGUGAGUAACGCGUAGGUAACCUGCCUUGUAGCGGGGGAUAACUAUUGGAAACGAUAGCUAAUACCGCAUAACAAUGGAUGACACAUGUCAUUUAUUUGAAAGGGGCAAUUGCUCCACUACAAGAUGGACCUGCGUUGUAUUAGCUAGUAGGUGAGGUAAUGGCUCACCUAGGCGACGAUACAUAGCCGACCUGAGAGGGUGAUCGGCCACACUGGGACUGGGACACGGCCCAGACUCCUACGGGAGGCAGCAGUAGGGAAUCUUCGGCAAUGGGGGCAACCCUGACCGAGCAACGCCGCGUGAGUGAAGAAGGUUUUCGGAUCGUAAAGCUCGGUUGUAAGUCAAGAACGGGUGUGAGAGUGGAAAGUUCACACUGUGACGGUAGCUUACCAGAAAGGGACGGCUAACUACGUG
rnacentral:rRNA from 1 species